rnacentral:rRNA from 1 species
UACGUAGGGACCAAGCGUUGUUCGGAUUUACUGGGCGUAAAGGGCGCGUAGGCGGCGUGGUAAGUCACUUGUGAAAUCUCUGAGCUUAACUCAGAGCGGCCAAGUGAUACUGCUGUGCUAGAGUGCAGAAGGGGCAAUCGGAAUUCUUGGUGUAGCGGUGAAAUGCGUAGAUAUCAAGAGGAACACCUGAGGUGAAGACGGGUUGCUGGGCUGACACUGACGCUGAGGCGCGAAAGCCAGGGGAGCAAACGGG